rnacentral:rRNA from 1 species
UGGGGAAUUUUGGACAAUGGGCGAAAGCCUGAUCCAGCAAUGCCGCGUGUGUGAAGAAGGCCUUCGGGUUGUAAAGCACUUUUGUCCGGAAAGAAAUCCUUGGCUCUAAUACAGUCGGGGGAUGACGGUACCGGAAGAAUAAGCACCGGCUAACUACGUGCCAGCAGCCGCGGUAAUACGUAGGGUGCAAGCGUUAAUCGGAAUUACUGGGCGUAAAGCGUGCGCAGGCGGUUUGCUAAGACCGAUGUGAAAUCCCCGGGCUCAACCUGGGAACUGCAUUGGUGACUGGCAGGCUAGAGUAUGGCAGAGGGGGGUAGAAUUCCACGUGUAGCAGUGAAAUGCGUAGAGAUGUGGAGGAAUACCGAUGGCGAAGGCAGCCCCCUGGGCCAAAUACUGACGCUCAUGCACGAAAGCGUGGGGAGCAAACAGGAUUAGAUACCCUGGUAGUCCACGCCCUAAACGAUGUCAACUAGUUGUUGGGGAUUCAUUUCCUAGUAACGUAGCUAACGCGUGAAGUUGACCGCCU